rnacentral:rRNA from 1 species
UACGUAGGGUGCAAGCGUUAAUCGGAAUUACUGGGCGUAAAGCGUGCGCAGGCGGUGAUGUAAGACAGGUGUGAAAUCCCCGGGCUUAACCUGGGAACUGCAUUUGUGACUGCAUCGCUGGAGUGCGGCAGAGGGGGAUGGAAUUCCGCGUGUAGCAGUGAAAUGCGUAGAUAUGCGGAGGAACACCGAUGGCGAAGGCAAUCCCCUGGGCCUGCACUGACGCUCAUGCACGAAAGC